AUUGAACGCUGGCGGCAGGCCUAACACAUGCAAGUCGAACGCGUGGCGGACGGGUGAGUACUUUCUGGGAAACUGCCUGAUGGAGGGGGAUAACUACUGGAAACGGUAGCUAAUACCGCAUACCAUCGGAUGUGCCCAGAUGGGAUUAGCUGGUAGGUUGGGUAACGGCUCACCUAGGCGACGAUACCUAGCUGGUCUGAGAGGAUGACCGGCCAAACUGGAACUGAGACACGGUCCAGACUCCGACGGGAGGCAGCAGUGGGGAAUAUUGCACAAUGGGCGCAAGCCUGAGACAGCCAGGCCGCGUGUAUGAAGAAGGCCUUCGGGUUGUAAAGUACUUUCAGCGGGGAGGCGUUACCCGCAGAAGAAGCACCGGCUAACUCCGUGCCAGCAGCCGCGGUAAUAC
rnacentral:rRNA from 1 species